rnacentral:rRNA from 2 species
UCUUCUUAGGUUAGCGGCGGACGGGUGAGUAACACGUGGGCAACCUGCCUGUAAGACUGGGAUAACUCCGGGAAACCGGAGCUAAUACCGGAUAGUAUCUUGAACCGCAUGGUUCAAGUUGGAAAGACGGUUUCGGCUGUCACUUACAGAUGGGCCCGCGGCGCAUUAGCUAGUUGGUGAGGUAAUGGCUCACCAAGGCAACGAUGCGUAGCCGACCUGAGAGGGUGAUCGGCCACACUGGGACUGAGACACGGCCCAGACUCCUACGGGAGGCAGCAGUAGGGAAUCUUCCGCAAUGGACGAAAGUCUGACGGAGCAACGCCGCGUGAGUGAUGAAGGUUUUCGGAUCGUAAAACUCUGUUGUUAGGGAAGAACAAGUGCGAGAGUAACUGCUCGCACCUUGACGGUACCUAACCAGAAAGCCACGGCUAACUACGUGCCAGCAGCCGCGGUAAUACGUAGGUGGCAAGCGUUGUCCGGAAUUAUUGGGCGUAAAGCGCGCGCAGGCGGUUUCUUAAGUCUGAUGUGAAAGCCCCCGGCUCAACCGGGGAGGGUCAUUGGAAACUGGGAAACUUGAGUGCAGAAGAGGAGAGUGGAAUUCCACGUGUAGCGGUGAAAUGCGUAGAGAUGUGGAGGAACACCAGUGGCGAAGGCGACUCUCUGGUCUGUAACUGACGCUGAGGCGCGAAAGCGUGGGGAGCGAACAGGAUUAGAUACCCUGGUAGUCCACGCCGUAAACGAUGAGUGCUAAGUGUUAGAGGGUUUCCGCCCUUUAGUGCUGCAGCUAACGCAUUAAGCACUCCGCCUGGGGAGUACGGUCGCAAGACUGAAACUCAAAGGAAUUGACGGGGGCCCGCACAAGCGGUGGAGCAUGUGGUUUAAUUCGAAGCAACGCGAAGAACCUUACCAGGUCUUGACAUCCUUUGCCACUUCUAGAGAUAGAAGGUUCCCCUUCGGGGGACAAAGUGACAGGUGGUGCAUGGUUGUCGUCAGCUCGUGUCGUGAGAUGUUGGGUUAAGUCCCGCAACGAGCGCAACCCUUGAUCUUAGUUGCCAGCAUUCAGUUGGGCACUCUAAGGUGACUGCCGGUGACAAACCGGAAGAA